AAACUUUGUUUGGAAUGCAGUACUAAUGACAACUAUCAGAUAUUUCUUUUAGCAAAUUCCAGAUAAUAAUUAUCAAACAAGCUAUUGAUUUUUUUUCAGAAUAAUUGAAUUAUUUGUGAUCACAUGCAUAGAAUAAUUAUCAAAAAGAAAAAAAAAUAGUACAUGCAUGCAUGAUGACCAUGCAAUACUCAAACACACACAUAUAGAGAGAGAGUUAUACCUUCUUCUAUUUCAAACCAAAAAUGAUUAUCUUCAAGAUGAAGGUGAUGAGCAACUCGUGUUGAUAACAUGUUAUAAAAUAUUAC
rnacentral:lncRNA from 1 species